GGGGGGGGGAAGACGCCCCCAUGUCCUGUUCGUUCUGCUGUGGUCAUUUUUAGGAUCGAAGGUCUGUUUGUUUUCGGCGAGAACCAGAUCGGCGAUGGUUUUGUAGACGGAAGGUUUUCUCAAUGGGAUGCAAAAAGGGAGGCAGGUGAUUUCAUAUAGUGCGUAAUAUUAUUCAACAGCGAUACCCAAAAGGGAAAUGGGCGGGGGUGUUCCCCCUAAGUGCCCCACUGUCGUCAUCGUUCAGAGCCCAAAGUGAAAAGACCCCAUGCAUCACUUGUUGUUCUGUUAGUCAUCAGUCUACGGGACAUUAGUAAAGGAAAUAUAUACACAUCUAUCCAUUUAGAGUACAUAAUGUAUACAUUAUCUAUCAUUUUCUUUGCUCUACGUUUGUGGAAUUCCGUUUGAAAAGAAACUUCCUUUUAGCGAUCAAAGGUAGGUGCUAUAUUACAUUAUUCACAUAUCUUAAAUAUCCAAGUUUGUUGUUCUGUGUUGUUUAGAAGAAAAAAAAUAUAAUACUUCGAUGUUGGCAUUGACUUGAGCUGUUCUUUGUUUAUUUGUUUAUUGUUGCCCCAAACUGGAGAGUCUGCUGUGGCUUGUCCAGGUGACUAAAUUAGGGCUGUUGUAAGCAUCACUUAACCAGUUUUAUUUGGCUUGCUGACUUUUAAGUUACUUGCUAAGCGUGAAACGUUUGUCAGAAUUCAAUAAUGAUUAGCUAGUUCUGUUAGUCUAGAUAUUUGUUUCCUGAAAGGAUCUAAUACAACGGUGUCUUUAUUUGUUGUGUGCAAAUAGAUAAUAUAUAGUCUACAUUUGUUUUACAAUAUCUACUGUAAUUCUGAGUUGUCAUUGUUUUCUGUUGGAUCUUGUCUUUAUCAUAUGACAACUUGAUGAAGUAGUGGUUCAGUUACUUGUGAGGAAUCCUGUUUAAUAUGUUGUCAUGUCGCUUGUGAAAAAAAAAAAAAAAAAAAACGUAAAACGAGACUAAAAACGAUGAUUUGGAGUAACCAUGACUACCACGACAAAAGAAACCGAACAAAAGCGUAGAAUAUAACUAUUUAUUUAUGGAUCAAUUGAUUGUUUCAUUGAAUCAACUAUUUAUUUAUUUAUUUAUACUGGUUGUGUAUUUAUUUAUUUAUUUAUGCAUUGAUUUAUUUUAUUGUCUGUGUAUUUGCGUGAUUCUGGUACAGGGAAGGGAGAAAAGGGAACUAAGUGACUGAAUGGAGAAGAGCUCUCUAGAUAGUCCACUGCACUGAGAACGUUUAAUACGUUUGUGCUUUGUACCAAUAUAUCAAAAUUACAACAAAAAAUCAAAAAGCCGAAAACGAAAAAAAAUUCCAGGGGGUUGCAAACUCUUAACUUAUGAGUAGAAACUGUUACUUGCUAUGCAUAACCUAGUUGAUAGUUAAAUUUGCUAUUGCUUUUUUCUUGUCUUGUUAAACAAAAAACCCUUAAAAUCUUUUUCAAUAAAGUUUAGUCUUAAUAGAAUGUUAUAACAGUCGUUCUGGUUCGAUAUAACCUGUGGUGAGUUUGUGUCGUUUUAAAAGCCACUCCGCACCCUCCCUCCACGCACUAACGCAUCGUGAUGAAACUUUAUGCAAAUACUUGGGUCUGAAACAUAACUUUCGGUUGUCAUGACAUCCUAUAUUGUGGCGGAUUGGGCACACGUAUGUGAUUCAGGAGAAGGAUGGUCCAAUCGUGUGUGAGGGUCAUUCAUUGCACUGGACCAAUCAGUGAACUCAUCUCAGCAGAGUCUAACCUAUUUUACGAAGAAUCACCAUGUUUUCAAACAACAUCGCUUGCUCCUCUACAGAGAUACCAUGAAUCCAUUGCACUAACUGUAUCUACCACAGUUAGAUAUACAAACCUAAAAAAAAACUUUUAGGUUUUUCAAACACUGAAGGUAUUUAAUGUAUUAAACCCAUUGUAUAUUUUAUAUACUAUAAUAUAGUAAAUAUAUAUAUUUUGAAAGGUAAAGGUAUAAGGCAUGGUUCCUGAUGUAUUUCAAUUGGAUUUUUGUGGAGACAUUCUUAGACAGGAGGGGGUGUGGGUUCAAAGUUAAAUACUCAGACCAUACCUUCACUCUCACGCCACUGCCCUCAUCCAACCGCCAUUCAAACGCCGUUCGACCAUUAUCCAACCGUCAUCCAACCACCUACAGUCCUGACCUCUGACCUGCACCAUCACCAGACCCGUUCACGCUCUCUUGGCGAUGGGAGCUUGAGUUAUGCAACGACCCCGGUAGAAUGUGGUUCUGAAGUAUGAACACAUUUCCUUGUGUCUUUUAAACUCUUACUGAUGUGUGCCUGUGUUCUGUGCAGACCCUGCCUGUCUGAGUACCUGUGCGAGUGUGUGUUACGAACGUUCAUGUUUCAGCGUGUGAAUGUGUGUGUGUGUGUGUGUGUGAGUGUGCAUCCGUAGGUGCGCAUGCAAGGGCGUUUGAUGACAUUGGGCGGAUUCAUCUGGCCCUAUGGCCGACCCCUACAGCUGGCACCUUCCCCUGUAACCCCCUACAGAGGCUGUGAUAGGAGGGCCCCAACAUGGUCUGGAGGGGGGGGGGGGAACUAGGGAAUCAGGCUUCAUGCGACAUACAAGUCUGCAUACAGCAACUACAUGAGUCCCCUCA